GCUCAGCUCGGGUCCCAGCCGGUAAUAAACUCCUGUGUGGAUUUAAUAUCAUUCUCUGGCUGGUUGUUUCUCGCUGGGUCUAACAUUCUUGGAGGCCCCAGCAAGAUAGCCAGCUGCUCUGGAGCUUAUUAUCUUGAAGCCAUUGUUUCUUUUUAGGAGAGACCAGGAUCGGACAUUGGCGGUGUUUGGUCCCUCCGGACACUGGUCUGAGGAAGGAGAGGCUGCCCUGACGGUAUUCCAGGGCUCUGGGUAGGCCGGUCCCAGUGGGGCCCUAUCACCGAUCAACUGACCCACAGGAGUUUAUCGGGAAAGCCUCUAGAGGUAUAAUGCCCUGGAUGCACAACUCAAGGCUCAAAAAGGCCCACAUUACAGACUCUGGAGGUGCCUGGACUGCUCAUUCUGAUCCCUGAGAUCCUCUCAGAACUAGACUCCACUGGAAACCACAAUAACCCUGCUCUAGUAUACUGGAGGCUGACUAGUCUACACAGGGUAGAAGCCUGAGGAUGCCAUUCACAGGAAGAUCUCCCCACCUCAAGACUGUUUUAAUGAACUGCCAUCCUUGGUUCCUGCUGAUCAUUGGCUUGCUGACAGUAAUUUUCAUGAUAGGUCUGGCUGAAGUCACUCCAGAAGGACGGACCAAGGCCAAAAGGUGCUUACUAGCUCUAACUCUAAUCCUAUGGGUGAGAAGCCUCUUGGGUAUUACUUGCUUUGUCCCCUAACAUAUACCAGUUUCCCCAUACUGAUGAGCCUCAAAACCACCUUUCACUCUCCAUCCGUUUGCAAAAGACCUUAAACCUAGUCCAUUUCAUGUUAAAUCAGGCAAACCCCACUCUGGCCCAAGAUUGUUAGCUAUGUGUGUCUGCCUCCAUGGCCUCUGACGAGGCCCACCCUGGUCCCUGUUCAGGUCUGGACAUUACCCACUUCUGACUACUAUGCAGAAUUCCAAGAAAUAGACCCCAUUCCUAAUAAAGCUAUAGAAGAAAAAGAAACCCCCAUAAAAAAGAGUAAGGCAUUAUGUACAUAGGGAGGGGUGGAGGAGUUGAAGGGAGGUCAGGGGAAUGGGAAAAAAUAAGAAUGAAGAUGUAUCAUGUACAUGUACAAAUUCCCAAUGAUGUAUAUGAUUGUAAUGAAAACCUAAAAUGUAC
ensembl:lncRNA